GAUAAUAAUCUUCGUAAAGGACUCAGUAAAGUUUAUAUCUCAAUUAAAUAAAUGCUAAAAUACAUUGCUUGCACAUUUCAUGUAAACCAAUUGUAAAGAGGAUUAUCCGCGUGCAAGAAGAUUUUAGUUUACUCCGAAAUUUGCGACAGAGUAGAAUGUUUGAUGCAUAAGAAUGAUGGAAUUGCGUCUUCACCCUCUCAAAAUGGAAGCAUAAUCUCAGACAAAAGGGACAAAAUAUAUGUAUAUAUAUAUACAUGUAUGUAGCCUAUCCCAUUUUGCAAAUGCCGAUGUCCGACCGUUUGUCUGUUUUUCCAUCAUGUCGAUAGUUAGUUCCACGUCCUGAAGAUAAAAAGAGGACUGAGACAGGACAAUGUCGAAUACAUGUCGUUUUAAAAACUGUAUCUUCGACUGGAUUGCUCGACGGAGAGUCAGAGAUAGCAUGCAAAGGAGAGUGGACGCGGAUGUCAGUUAAAUUUCUAAACAUGCACACAAAAUCCUGAGUCGUUAUAACUUGGAUGUAUACCGAUAAGGACUCCUUUUCUUGCAGAAACCGUAAAGUAAUAUCUUCCUAAAACUGACAUAAUUCAAACAGGGAUGUUAAAGGGGACAUGCAGUAGGCAUACUGUACAACUAGUUGGAGAAGGCCGGUGAAAAUGGGCUCGCGGCGAGAAGUGGACGGUCCCGAUACAAAACCGGCAAUGGAGCUAUUGUUGUGGAAUUCUAUCGUAUUUGACUCGAGAGCGCCACCUGGAGAUACGAUAUGGUGUAAAUGUAUCUGACACAUGACAAAACCAGGUUCCAGAAUCGACGUACAAAGCUGAAGAUAUUUAACAGGAUUUUGUCUAUGUCUAUUUAUCGAACCACUCACUGUGCUGUGAGGAAUAUCACAUAAAGGAAAAGUGGCAUAAUCAAGAGGGCUAACAUGAGAGAUCACACAUGCUGGUCAUUUAAAACAUAUUGGUAGGUCACAAAAUAUAGACUACCUUACAGCCUUAAAUGUUUCCAAAACGUGACAGUUUGUAUGAAAGAUAACUGCAAUGUGUGUUAAUCAAGACUUUUGUUUUAGAAUUGUGUCGUUACUGUCACUUAUUAUACUGUUCCAAAUGCGA